UUUAAUCACAGAACUAGAGAGGAUUACAAAACGAGAAGAGACAGCUCUCGGUCACAGUCUCAUUUUAGAUUCCUAGAGGCAGGAUGGCUAUUUUCGGACUGAGGUCAAGGGCUCUCCACUUCGCUCCAGAUCCAUUUCCUUCAUUUACCCUGUCUCUACAUGAAUGGCUAGUAGCCCUCUCUGAUUUAACUUGACCUAGAAGGAACCUUUGAUUCAUACCAACAGUGAUACAAUCUACCAUGGGCUGGGAUCUACCACAUCAACAAUUAAUCAAGAAAAUGGCUAAAGGCUGACCCUAUGGAAG